rnacentral:rRNA from 1 species
AUGAGGCAUAAUAGAGGAGCCGGUCCCGAUGGUAUGCCUAUUGAAUUCUUCCAAACCUUUUGGCACCUCAUUUGCAAUGAUUUGUUGAGUCUCUUUCAAGAUUUUUAUGAUGAUAUGAUUGAUAUUUCUAGGCUAAACUAUGGGGUAGUUACAUUGUUAGCUAAGGGUCAAGGGGUGGAUAGGAUUCAGAUGUAUAGACCUAUUUGCAUGCUCAAUGUCCCGUUUAAAAUCUUUACCAAAGUCUUAAACAAUAGAGCUAUGACUACUGCUCACAAGACGAUUUCUAAGGUACAAUCUGCAUUU